rnacentral:rRNA from 1 species
UACGGGGGGAGCAAGCGUUGUUCGGAUUUACUGGGCGUAAAGGGCGCGUAGGCGGCCACCGCAAGUCGACUGUGAAAUCUCCGGGCUUAACCCGGAAAGGUCAGCCGAUACUGCGGGGCUAGAGUGCAGAAGGGGCAACUGGAAUUCCGGGUGGAGUGGUGAAAUGCGUAGAGAUCCGGAGGAACACCAGAGGCGAAGGCGGCGCGCUGGGCUGCACCUGACGCUGAGACGCGAAGGCGUGGGGAGCGAACGGG